GGCCCCAUGCGUCUUUCGCCUUGAUCUCCAUGGAUCUGAGCACGGUUGACGCAAGCCUCAGAUCGGAUUAGAUGUGGAAGCAAGAUUUAUUAUAUACGCUUGCAAAAGGGGAAAGCCUGAUCAGAGGACUGGAACUGGAAGAUUGAUUGUCCUACUGCAAUACAAUAUACAGCUCGGGUCUGAUGAACUGAGCUGUCAAGAAUCAUUCAGAAAUGUGCCCAUGCACCUGUAUGUACUCCGCGCAACUGGUGAUUGUUAGGAGUAGUACAGUAGCUUCGGAAAUGGAGUCUGUUGAUGUGGUCAUGUCGAUCGUAGCUUAGGCAUGCUGGCACAGUUAGAGACCACGUACCUAUUCACAUAGACACGUGCUUCAGAUUGGUAGUUUUGGUUUUCAAAGUCGCUUCAUAACGUGAUGCUUGAAUCUUGAUAUGCUUGAUAUUGGUAUGUGCAUCAUUUCUGGCUCGUAAAUGCUGGCUACAGUCCAUGCCUACCAAAAAGAACAAUGAAAUGAGUCCCGAAGAUCUAAUGAUGGUCUCCAAAA